CUCAGGAUAGCUGGAACUUAUGAGAAAGUAGUUUUAUCAGGUAAAGCGAAUGAUUAGAGGUUUUGGGGAAGAAACUUCCUCGACCUAUUCUCAAACUUUUAAAUAGGUAAGAUUUGAAGGAUACUUAAGUGAUCUUUCAAUCUCUUGAAUAUAAAGUUCUUAGUGGGCCAUUUUUGGUAAGCAGAACUGGCGAUGUGGGAUGAACCGAACGUUAAGUUAAAGUGCCAAAUAAUACGCUCAUGAGAUACCAUAAAAGGUGUUGGUUCAUUUUGACAGCAGGACGGUGGCCAUGGAAGUCGGAACCCGCUAAGGAGUGUGUAACAACUCACCUGCCGAAUGAACUAGCCCUGAAAAUGGAUGGCGCUUAAGCGUACAACUUAUACUUAACCCUUACUUGAAUUAUUAUAGCGAGUAAGGAGUAGGAGGGC
rnacentral:rRNA from 1 species